rnacentral:rRNA from 1 species
GUCCACGCAGUAAACGAUGAGUGCUAGUUGUCGGGCUUUUGGGGUUCGGCGGCGAAGCUAACGCGUUAAGCACUCCGCCUGGGGACUACGGUCGCAAGACUAAAACUCAAAGGAAUUGACGGGGACCCGCACAAGCAGUGGAUCAUGUGGUUUAAUUCGAUGCUACGCGAACAACCUUACCAGCUCUUGAAUCCCAUUGACCGGUACAGAGAUGUACCUUCGGGGCAACCCGCAGUGGUGACA